CACGCCGCCGGACUUGCAUACCGCAGCAUUGGGCAGCCCCGCGGCCCUGCCAUGGGCAGCGCCUCGACGCCUAGAUUCGACUUAUUCCGUUGGCAACGCACGGCGACUGUUCAUGGCGAGGCAGACGAGGCAGCCGUUGUACCUGCACUGAAGCAUGGCGUUCUUCUUCUGGUCGUGGGGUUGAUGCAGUGCACGCCACCGCGCAUGAGCAGGAUCUCCCGAUUCGAGAUGGUGGAGGAGAGCACCUGGCUAGGGCGCUCCACGGCGGCUCUCGGGUACGAUAUCCACUAAGAAGGUGAGUCUGUCCUUCAUUGUGAAAUCGUGCUGCGGCCGCAACGUGCCGCUCCCGGAGGGCUUCUAAUGGCACGCGUUUGGCUACUCCCGACGUGACCACGGCCUGGGAGCUCUGUGCGGGCAGGCCGGGGAACGCAAUGGAGCUUGCGAAGAAGGCAACUUGUCUGUGAUGUACGGCUACCUGAUGCUGCUCCGUAGUUGGGCCCUAUUCGCGCCGUUGCGGAUGUACAUUGUUUCCGACGUCGUCCACGCGGGUUCGAUAUCAUGGAUUAGGCCGUGUACAGCGGGAUGGCCAAUGUUGGCGAGGAAUCAGUCACCCGCAUGACCAAUUAUUUCUUCAGGUCCAAGAAUGGCAAGAGCGAGGAGGAGGGCAUUGUGGUGUCCAUCGGCCCACCCAAGAACGUCAUGGAGAACUAGGGAUGGGCUCUCCUGCUGGGAUCCCUGCACGCACUAUCGUGCAGGGCCAACCAGCGGCCAACACGUGGCCUGGUGGACCCCAUCACUAAAACAACCAGCCCGUAUCUCUCUAAUUACAUAAAAUCAGUAAAACUGCCUUUUUUUCUUGCCUUUUUUUCUCGCGCGUAUCAACAGAUUGCCGCUAAAAUCGCCAACAUCCUUUCUUCUAUCUAUCUACUCCAUUGUGGAUCACACGAGAAUAGAUCAGGAUCGAUAGAGAAUGGCCCUCUCACGUGGACCAGCAUCUACGGUGUUCUUCGGCAUGGAAGGAGCUCCUGCGACUUCAACCAUAGAUUUGUUGUUGUGUCUUGAAUCUGUAAAUUAUCAACACUCUCAUCAUAUGGAGGAGACAAGAUUAAACAGAAACAAAGGAAAAGCUUAAUUUAUGACAUGCAAAUUAAUCCUUGAGACUUAGCUCCACGUACUUCAUUUUUCAUAGGUCUGUUUCUUGUGUCUUCUUUGCCAAUUGUAAUGAUAGAGAUUAUUGUAUCUAAGAAAAAGGACAAUGUUUUGCUAAUGCUCCUAUGAAUACAGUGUGAUAUUUGGCAAAAUAUGUUGUCCCAUCUUCAAGUGUUGUUCAGGUUUCACUACAACAGGACUCUGAAUAUUGUGUUUUUUUAACAAAACUGUGUCGUCCAUGAACUAAUUAGUAUAUGAUAUUUUUAUGUUGUGUAGAUCAUGAGACCACUAAUGUGGAAGAGGCAGGUCGAAACACAGAUGAUUAUUACAGCAAAAGGUUAAAACCAGAGAUAGGAAUGGAAUUUGAGAAUGAAGAUAUAGCAUAUGAGUUUUAUAAUGCAUAUGCAAGACAUGUAGGUUUCAGUGUUAGGAAAUUUUGGCAUGAUAAAUCCUCAACGAAUGUUAUUCGAACAAAGAAAUUUGUAUGCUCAAAGGCAGGUUUCAAGGACAAGAGCAAGGAACAAUGCCAGCGGAAACGAGCAGAUACAAGAGUUGGAAGUCUGGCAGAGAUGACCAUCAAAAUAAGUGCUAACGGAAAAUAUGUUGUAAGCAGCUUGGAGGAUGCCCAUAAUCAUGAACUCGUAACUCCAAGCAAAUCCCAUCUACUGCAAUCCCAAAGAAGAAUUACAGAAGCUCAAAAGGCCCAGAUUGACAUAUUGAAUGAUUCGGGUAUUAGACCAAAAUCUGAUCAUGAAGUGAUGAGUAGGCAAGCAGGGGGCCGACAAAGUCUUUGCUUCGGUCACAAAGAUUAUAAAAAUUAUCUCCGGUCAAAGCGUAUGCAAUCAAUCCAAGAAGGAGACACAAGUGCCAUUCUUCAAUACCUACAGGAGAAGCAAAUGGAAAAUCCUUCCUUUUUUUAUGCAAUACAAGUAGAUGAAGAGGAUAUGAUGAUCAAUAUAUUCUGGGCAGAUGCAAGACCAAUAUUAGAUUAUCACUACUUUGGUGAUGUGGUAUGCUUUGACACAACCUUUAAGACAAAUAGUUAUGGAAGACCAUUUGCCCCUUUUGUUGGUGUCAACCAUCAUAAACAAACAGUGGUUUUUGGAGCUGCAUUAUUGUACGAUGAAACAGCUGAUACGUUUGAAUGGUUAUUUGAAACAUUCAAAAGGGCUAUGUCAGGGAAAGAACCAAAAACAAUAUUGACCGACCAAUGUCCUGCCAUUAUUAGUGCCAUUGACAAGGUUUUUACCAAUUCAAUACAUCGUCUAUGUGUGUGGCACAUGUAUUAGAAUGCUGCAAAACAUUUGAGUCAUGUUUUCCAAGGUUCAAAGACAUUUAAGAAAGAUUUUGGCAAGUGUGUUUAUGAUUUUGAAGAAGUUGAUGAUUUCUUAGCAGGUUGGAAUGAUAUGCUAGUGAAAUAUAAUUUGGAAGACAAUGACUGAUUACAUAGAUUAUUUCAGAACAAGGAGAAGUGGGCUUUGGUUUAUGGUCGGCAGACCUUUUGUGCGGAUAUGAAAUCUACGCAAAGAAGCGAGAGUAUGAAUGCACUAUUGAAGCGAUACUUGCAUGUUCGCCUUGAUUUAUUAGAUUUCUUCAAGCACUAUGAGAGGGCCGUAGAUGAUAGAAGGUAUGCUGAAGUGGAAAGUGAUUUCUAUGCGAGUCAAACAUCACCAAAAGUGCCACAUGUGCAGAUGUUGAUUCAAACUUCCAAAGUAUAUACACCUGCUAUGUUCGAGGUAUUUAAAGAAGAAUUUGACAUGGUAAUGGGAUAUUGUGUGUAUGAAAGUGGCCGUACUGCCUCUAUUUCUGAAUUCAAGGUUACCCAUUCAGCUAGCCAAAAUAGUCAUACAGUGAAAUUUGAUCACGAUGGAUCAAAAGUUUCCUGCUCAUGCAAAAAGUUUGAAUUUAUUGGGGUCUUGCGUCGUCAUGCAUUGAAGGUGUUGGACCACAACAAUAUUAAGGAGUUGGCACCGGAAUAUAUCUUGAAAAGAUGGACAAGGCAAGCAAAAUCAGGGCCAUCAUAUGCAAUUCAAAAGUGCGCUGAUGAUGAAGAUGCUAGAGUUGUGCUAGCUAGGCAGUAUGGAUCACUAUGUCGCACUUACAAUAACAUUUUGAGCAAAGCAGCAGCAAACAAAGAGGCAUAUGCACUACUACAAAGUAUGUCAAUAGAACUAAUGGAAAAGGUGGACCAGAUUUUACAUGGAAGCAACCAAUCGAAAGAUAUACCAUCAAAUCAUGAACAAGCUGAGAAACAAGCAGAGAAACAGCCAGUUAAAUGCAACAAUGAGAAUGUUGUCCAAGCAAAAGGAAUAAGGAGAAAAGAAAAAGGAAAUAGCAGUAAGAGGAUUAAAUUUGGAUUGGAACUAAACAAAAAGAAUACACACAAGAAAGGUAUGGUACAGCUCAAGAAAUGGCUACAUAAUUAUCUGCUCAUGUUAUUCAAAUAGAUCUAACAGUUUCUUUUUCAAAUAGGUCAAGCAACAACAUGCAAGAAUAAGAAUGGUGAUUGUGCUUCUGCCUCAACUGAAGCAAAUCCUAGCUUCACCAUGUCAAAUCAGUACUCCAACUUGCAAGUACUGCAGAGUGCCAUGCCUCUAGUACCACAUGCUACGAACUACAGUUUGCAAGUAUCAUCGCACGCUAUGCCUCCACUACCACAUGCUGCGAACUACAGUUCGCAAGUAUUGUCGCACGCUAUCCCUCCGAACCCACAAGCUACGAACUACAAUUCGCAAGUAUUUCCGCGCGCUAUGCCUCCGCACCCACAAGCUACAAACUCCAAUUUGCAAGUAUUGCCGCAUGCUAUGCCUCCGCAACCACAGGCAGAAAACUACAAUUUGCAUCUACUUCCUCAGACCAUGACACCAGUGCCACAGCCACAGAAUUAUAAUUUGCAAGUACUGCAUCACGGCCUGCCUCAACUACCGCAGGCAGAUGCUACUUCUUUUCAGCAGUUACUCGGCUUGCAACCACAACAACCAUAUUUCUAUUAUGGCACUCAACCAAGUCAGGUAUAUUUACUUGGUUAGUCGUUAAAAAUUAAGACGAACAUGCAUAGGUCAUUCACUUCCAUUAACUUUAAACCGUAUGUAGAGUUCUGUAUUGAUACCGAACUCGGAAUGGCCAGCAUAUCAAAAUGACCAGCUGCCGACUAAGGUAUUGUUUCACUUACAAGUCAGACUCUCAAAUUCAAGUUUAUUUCUCACAUGAAAUCGUUCCUUUUUUUUAUUUCAGGACUUGGGUAGCCAAUCAAGCCAUGGACAAGAUAGCACUUUUAAAUAGCUCAUUCGCAAAAAAAAUAGCUCUAUAUAAACUUUGCUUCUAAGGAUUGCUCUACAAAACAAUUUUUUUUGAGGGUUGCUCUACAAAACAAUUACGUCCCCAUGUAAUAGUUAAUCUUACUGUUCCUUUUGGUGUGAGAUGUAUAACGGAUUUAUUCUAAAUGGAUAUAUAUAGGUGCACCGAUUAGUUGCUGGUUAUUUCUAUGUGGUUCCAUCCACAAGGAUCUUUCACCAAUUUGAGAUUUCUGUGACUGUCCUAUGACUAAAAACAGAGAGCAUAGCUGAACAUAGCUACAUGACGCUGCCUAGUUUGAAGUCAUUGAAAGCUAGUUUAAUCUCAAAUUAACGGUUAUCUUAGCAACAUACUAGCAGUAAUUAAUUGGAUAGCCCUUGUACUAGUUUGAAGCCAUCGUAAGCUAGCUACUAGUACACGAUAGAUGAAGAAAUCAGCUACCACUAACCUGUAACCUCUGUCCGGCGAGUGUGCAUCUGGCUCCCGUCUUGAUGUGCGCCUGCACGGCCUCUUGCGGCAUCCCAGCGAAGCAGUGCUGCACCCAGCCGGCUGCAUGCCUUGCAGUUCCCCACCUUCUCCAAGGGAUCUGGUCGGUCCAGGAGGGGAACGGCGGCAUGCCAGAGCAGCUGCUCCAGCCUUGGCCGGGGCUUGGGCGCGCCGGAGUCAGGCAGCGGCAGCCGCGGCUGCUCCCUCUGUUGCUCGCCACGACCACGACGCUGCCGGACGGCGGACCUCACUUUCUGGAACUCUCUAUCUCUCUCACUCACGGAGCUUAGUUCAGUGGAAUAAUGGUAGUACUAGCUCGAAGCGUCCGCGGCGGAUAAGGCAAGGAGAAGGACUUUUCAGAAAAUUAAACAAAACAAAAUCUGUUUAUUAAGUGGUGGGGUCCACCAGGCCUCGUGUUGGCCGCUGGUUGGCCCUGCACAAUAGUGGGUGCAGGGCUCCCAGCAGGAGAGCCGGACAAUCCGUCGGCGGCUCAAGCUCAUUGAUAUGGGGUCCAUUGAUAUGGCAUGCGGUUGACGCCGUGGAGGUCGCCACCACUGCAACUGCUGCCUGUGGCCAUCGACCGCCUCCCUUCAUGGCCGCCGAGCUAUGUCCAUGUCGUCCCUACUAACCCAUGGCAUCGUCUGCUUCAGUCCCACCCAUACAGGCCAUCAUUGUAGCAUGCAAGGCCUAUCUUACAGUUCGUAUGGAUCUGUAUUUUGACGUGUUGAGCGUCUUGCAUUUCAUUUACUUUUUCUUAUUUUGUGUUCAUAUAUGGAUUCUGACAGAAUUCAGUCGCUGUUGGAACUCUGCUUUCAUGACUCCUGCACAUGUUUGUAGAUAUGAUUGUAACAUAUGUUGUUUAUGUUUUUCUCAUUUUUUUGCAGCCUCAAUGGAAUAACUGGUAUAGACAUGUUGUAUAUACCAGUUAUUCCUGGUAUAGACAUGUUGUAUAUUAUUACCCGCAAAAAAAAAAGACAUGUUGUAUAUUAUUGGGGAGUAUAUGGCGGGCUGCACUGCCUGGGUGCACAUAGCGAGGUAGGUCGGAUGGCAUCAGGGUGGUGGUUUCCGAUUUUGUUGCUGGUUGGUGCAUGUCCUGGUUAGGCAUGGUUUUCGAGGAUGACUUGCUACGUGUAUGCAUAAUAGCAGGAGUUGAUGUGACUAAGUACAUUUGUAUAGGCAGUUCUAAUAUAUUUUUUCCGUUUGCAUGCGUAGGUUGUGAUGAGUUUCGUGCGUAGUGGUCGAGAGAUCUUUUCUCCUGGCUGUUAGCGGCUGUAGCAUUGUUUUGCAUGGUUGUGCCGUGUUGGUUUUCCUUUGUUUAAAGUCCGCUGCCGCGUAGAUCGUAGGUUCUCGUGGGUGCUGAUAUUCUAGAUGAUCGUGAUUACGUGGUUAGAUUUAUUCACGUCCUUGUAUAAUGUUCAAGGCUCUAGGCUCAGUAGCAGAAGCAACUUUUAAUUUGUUACAUGUACCUAAAAUAACCAUCGAUUGCUAAGAAAGUAAAAAAAAAACAUUUGCUCCCUAGAACAAUCAGUGUGUGUCCACCAAGAAAGAAGAGAAGAUUAGGCCAAAGCAAACCAUCAUAGUAAAAGAAACGAUUAUAUAGAGGUAUCAACACAGGGCUGCCAUUUUUGUGACAUUCAUUGAUAACAUGAUGGUCCAUGCAUUCUAGCUCAGUUAAUUUUGAUGUUUCUUUAGGUUUAAUUCUUUGGGGUCAGAAUCAUUUUUUUCAAUAAACUGAAGCAUCAUUGUGAUAUAAUCCCUAGCUGUUUAGGUAAUCAAACUGAAGACUUCACUUUAAUUCGGCCAGAAUAAAUAGUUGCCACUUUUCAAAGUGCCGUAUUUGGCUAUCCUAACUUAAUUGCAAUAUAAGAUACUCUAACCAAGUUAUCCAUCAUGUUACAUACGUAACUACUUGGGUGCACUUUGAAUUAGUUUAUUUCCCUCAUAUGCAAGAAGGGCAAGCGGGGACAACAGAUACAUACUUCCGUCCAAUAGUGAUUUCUGAGGUCUUCUUGAAGAAGAGAAAGCAACACUAAUACGUCGAAGUUAAAAGUUAAAAAAACACAAAGCUAUGUUUUCCAAUGACCGACCAACCUAAUUAAACAUCAACGAUUCUCGAACGCUCAAGCAAAGAAAUGAUAUCCAAAUUAGCAACCAAUCAAACAAUCAAAAAAAUUAACACACGAGUUUUCCUUCUACCACGUAUGUAAUUUCAACAUCAAGUACCUAUAUAGCACUGUAUCAUUUCAUCACCGGCACACCUGCAGCGGGCGGUCAAACAUGGAUGCUAUGAAUUACCGAAGAAUUGAAAGUUGUCAUGCAAUAUCAAUAUGGUUUCCUUUAUCUACAAUAUACCGACUCUUUUCUUUCCAGUCGAUAAUGCUUUUCUCUAUGAAAUAUUUCAGCAUCCAUACCAAUAUGAUUUUUUGCAUAUACCAUGAAAUGAAAAAAGGGUGAAAAACUCAUUAUUUUCAAGAUUUAUAUUGUAACUCAUUUUUCACCAAUUAUGUAUACUUACUAAACAAUAUGGUUUAACCUCCUUCUCAUAUUUGUUGUAUGCGGGCAUCAGGACUAAACAAUAUGGGUUUACCCAUUCUCAUAUUUCUUGUAUCCAUCCAUGCAUCAAUACAGAAAAUAUUUUACCCUCUUCUCAUAUUUGUUGUAUGCAGGAAUCAAGUUGUGGUGAAUUUGGAUAACACACUAUUAACAUACAUAAUGAGAUCUUUAAGGGUGAAAAAACACCACUAGCUAUGUUUCUCGGUGUUGUAUAUUUGUUUUCCCUCUGAAUGUUGUAAGAUAAUGACCAGCCUAAAAGCUCAGUGAAAAUAUUUUUGCCGGGUUUCUGGCUGAGAAAAUAUUUUUCAAUUGCUAUGUCAAUGCAAGUUAGUCAACGGCCAGACAACAAAACUGCAAUAGAUGGGUAUACCUAUUGAAUUUUUUCCUACACAUAAAAAAAUGGCACUUCCAAUUUAAUACACAAACAAUAUCUUUGAUGUAUAGCUGAAGUCUAUAUGCUCAUAAAUUACCAAUUCAGUCAUAGGUUCAUGCAAACUAUUUGCCCCAAGUAUGAACUCUAUCAUGUUAACUACUGAUAUGACACUCCCUCGGCUAAUGGUGCUAAUGGAAGGAAGUUAUCAUCGUAGCAUACCCUUUGUUUUAUAGAAUGGCAUGAUGUGAAUAACUGAAACUUAUUAAAGAUGUAGCAACGUGUAUUUCUCUGUUUAGCAACAUUUGUUGUAAAUAGUAAACACAUUCCAUAUGGAUACACCGCAGCGACGGGCGCGGCGUGCCGCCGCGCGGGAUAUGCUAGUAUAUACGAUUGAAGAAGUGGAAGCGCCCGGACUUUGUGCCCGCCUCCUUACAUCUCGGCGGCAUUUCUUCCCACUGGCGAUAUCAAUGGCGCGCUUAGCUGAUAACCAUAAAAGGGGAUCCUAUUGCACGCUUCCCGCCGGCAGCUGCAAGCGGUGGGCGACCUCCAUACCGAUGAGCGGCUGGGCGCCCCUCCCCGGAGACAGGACAAUUUUUCUGCUUUAACCUUUUGUGCUAACAAAUUCCAGAAUUGACCUCGUUUGUUAUAAAAGUUCGAAUCUGACCUUUUUUUGUCAUGCCAACACCCUUGGUGUUUGGCUUACACUGGAGACGCCAUGGUCCAUGGCGUCUGGACCUGGCCUGCAUGAGCUUAGUUGGCGUUGACGUGGCAAAGCGAAACGCCACGUUCCUUGGCGUUUGGAGGAAACGCCAUACAUCUCGGCGUUUGGUCCCUAUGCGCUCAGAUUUGACUACCUGCCACAGCAUGCUUAGGUGAGUGACAUGAGACGUAGGUUCUAUGCGUGCAUGCAUGCAUGAAUAAGUAGAUCGUUAUGUGGCGGAGCACGUUGAUUAUCAGCGAUGAGCCAUGACAGUGUCCCUAGUUCUUUCAUGAUCUGUUUUAUGUUAAGAAGAUUCUCUGACCCACGAAUGGUAAAAUCGAUAUAUACUCCACCAUAAGUGCUACUAGAUAGAUUCCUUAACCAAGUCCUGGGUAUUAUCCUUACACUCUUGUAUGCAAGUGUACUACAAUGUUAGAGCAUCUAUAGCCGGACACCUCAAACCAUCCUUUAUACGCGUGCGGACGCGCCCGGUUCAGUGACUGGACAUGAGAGAGAAGAAAAAAACGCCACCCAACCGGACCCUCGUAUCAUUCCUAUAUGCCCAGGCUGUCUGCGAACCCUCAUAUACAUCUCAAAUAUGGGGAGGAUAUGAGCGCUCGCGGACGCAUCUGGGCAUUCCGCAACGUAGGACGCGGCCCUACCCCGAACCAUCUUUUCUCUUUCUUUAUUCAUUCUUUUAUUUCUCUCUUUUCAUCUCCAACAAUCAUGUGCAAGUGUCCGGACAUAUGAGAAAAAAAUGAGUGUGGCUGCGCAGACGGAUAAAUAGGGGCUCAAAACGGACAAGCCCGGUCACUGACCGGCCGCGUCCGUGGGCGUUUAAGGGGUCGUAUUUGCUAUGUAUGGUUGUAGUGCUCUUAGCAUUCUUGCACCGUAGUUCCCUUUCAGAGUACGGAGUACAUAGCAUCGAAAUCACCGAGACGUUCCUCUUUGGUUCUGAAUCGAGUGAAAUGCAUAAAACCAUCACAAUCGUGUCCGUAAAUGCAGUAAACCAUCAUUUUAUAAAUUAUAACAAAACACACAACACGUAGCUCUUGACAGUGAAAAAAAACACUGACCAAAAUUUGAAUCUUGUUUUGACGUGGCAAAUCAUACGCGUGACAAAGGGAUAUACAACGCUGACAAACAUCUUCUUCAGUAUGGAUCACCAUUACGGCCUCCUCUGAUGUGUGUGGUGGUUGGUGGGGUGAUUAUUAUGUAGGCUUUAGAGUGAUAGACGAUGCAUUGGGUCUUCGUUUUAUCCUGGAGGAGCUCACCCUUGGUCAUAUAGGUGUGCAGUGGUUGGGUCCAGUCUUGGGUGUGGAUCACCAAUACUGUCAUUGACCCAUCGACCGGAGUUGGUUCCUCGGGAAGUUGCGUCUGCAGCGGCUGACGAGAGAUCGCGUCGAUCAGCGCCGCCCUGUGUCUGGUCACAUCGUGCGGCAUCAAUGACGGCUGCUCCGUGCUCUGGACCGGCGUGAAUGCAGUGCGGUCAGCGAAGCGUGCAUCAAAAGAAAAGCGCGAGAAAGGCGGCGNNNNNNNNNNNNNNNNNNNNNNNNNNNNNNNNNNNNNNNNNNNNNNNNNNNNNNNNNNNNNNNNNNNNNNNNNNNNNNNNNNNNNNNNNNNNNNNNNNNNNNNNNNNNNNNNNNNNNNNNNNNNNNNNNNNNNNNNNNNNNNNNNNNNNNNNNNNNNNNNNNNNNNNNNNNNNNNNNNNNNNNNNNNNNNNNNNNNNNNNNNNNNNNNNNNNNNNNNNNNNNNNNNNNNNNNNNNNNNNNNNNNNNNNNNNNNNNNNNNNNNNNNNNNNNNNNNNNNNNNNNNNNNNNNNNNNNNNNNNNNNNNNNNNNNNNNNNNNNNNNNNNNNNNNNNNNNNNNNNNNNAGUGGGAGAAAAUACGUCCGGACCGCACCGCGGACCGAUAAAGGCGCAUUGAAUGGUUUCCGCAGUCCGGACAACGCGAUCCGAACGAAUGCGAAAGGUUUGCGGGUCGAUGUUAGAGAUUCCCUUACAAAGGCUCUAAUAUUUGAUUAUGGGGUCAUAUAUGCGGUUACGUAGUGAAAGGUCAUGAACGACAAUUAAAUUAGAUCACCCUGAUAAUGGAAGUGCUACGGCCAACAACGACCUAGUUACCUAAGCCACUGCAGGGUGCAUGCAUGCGUGCGCGCACAGAGAGAAGCUAGCGAGCGGCCGAGCACGCAUGCAGCGAUGCAGCCGGUCAGCGAUUAGCAAAUCUUAGUUAGGGACCAAACGCCAAGAUGUAUGGCGUAUCCUCCAAACGCCAAGGAGCAUGGCGUUUCGCUUUGCCACGUCAAAGCCAACUAAGCUCCUGCAGGCCAGGUCCAGACGCCACGGACGGUGGCGUUUUCCUCGUAACCCAAACGCCAGGGAUAUUGGCGUGAUCCAAAAAGGUCAGAUUCAAUUUUUUUUACAAGCAAGGUUAAUUUAGGAUUUUGUUAAUACAAAAGGUUAAAACAGAAAUUUUGUCCCCGGGGACAUUGCCGACCGCAUCUCCCUGCGGCUGCUCGCAGAGGACGUGACCGAAUACAUCAGAUUCCGCGCCGUGUGCUCGCCGUGGCGAUCGUCAACGGCCAGCCCACGAGACGCGAUCUUGUUGGACAAGCGCUUCAGCCCACGCGGAUGGGUCGCGCUCUGUGACGGCGACGGGGUGCUAGUGACAGCCGCGUGCAAGAUCACCUUCUUCCACACAUCCACCGGCCAGCGCCUCGCCGUCCACCUGCCGGAGCUCCACCGCCAAAAGAUUGUCGGCGUCACCGACGGCCUCAUCAUCAUGCUGGACAAGGACAGCUCUGUGGUCCGCGUCCUCCACCCCUUCACGCGUGUCGCUGUCGAGCUCCCUCCCCUUGCCACCAUAUUCCACACUGAGAUCAACAACUUCACCUCGCUGCUGUCCAUGGGCGCCGCUGUCUGCCGCGCCGACACAUCCAUCGCCGUCGUGGCAUGGUUAACCAGCGCAGAGAUGGUUAUCUGUGCGCGCCAAGGCCACCCUAGCUGGGUGGUGAUCCAUCGAGACAUCAUGCUCCACAACACCUUGCCCUUCCAAGGCCGGCUAUAUGGCACCAUACCGGCAUCAGGGCAUCUUGUUCAGCUCUACCCUCCAAAUCCAUGCGGGGCAGUUGUCGGUCAUGUCCCGCGUGAGUUGGUUGACAUAUUCAGAUCCUCCUACUUCCUCGUGGAGUCCGGGGGACACAUGCUUCUAGCCGUGCAACAUCAUCGGAUGGGUUAUGACAUUUGCGCUGAGAUGGAGUGGUGGCGAUACUUCACCGUCACGCUAUUUCAGGUGAACGUGCAUGGUGGGGAUCUCAUUCGGGUGAACAGCCUUGGUGAUGAGGCCUUGUUCUUAGGGAAAGACCGCUGCCUGUCGAUCUCCACAAUGAACCUCCCUUGCAUCAGGGGCAACUCUGUUUACUCAUAUGUACUAUCAAACAAGGAUCCCGUUGUGCUGCAUUCUCUAGGCAGUGGUUCUUCUGAGCACACAACAAUGCACACAAAGGUGCAUUAUUCGAAUAAGAUGGUUCGUCCAUCCAUGCGGCCUUUCACCCUUCCUGAUCAUCUUAUGACAUAUUGUCAUAAUCUUCAAUGGUAAGUAUCACCGGUACCCUAACUUCCACUGUCCCAACCACUGUGCAACAUGAUUGCCUAAUGUUAUCUUUCUUUCUUGCUGUAGGACAAGGGGGCUGAUGCUUCAUGAAUAUUCUGCCAUUCCUUCAUAUCUGAGUGAUCUGCGAGAGAAAAUACACGCACACGAAUCUGAUAUCAGGUUCCCGUAUAUAGGGGACGUUGGCAAAAAGGCUAAGACCAAGCGUGUUCCGUGUUCGUGCUGUUGUGAAGAAGAACUAGCCCCUCUGUGCUUAGCACCGCUGAGAGAACCAUGUCAAGAGGUAAGGGUAAACACUAAACACCGACCGCCCAUUAGGGCAUCUCCAGCCGUUCGGCCCCCCAGGGCGCCUAAAUAGAGCGGCCUGGGGGCGUGCCGGCGCUAGUUUGGCCCCUGGGGGCGACCUAGCUCCCAGUCAUGCCCCCACGCGCCGGCCCCAAGAUGCGGGAAAUUUAAACUCGGUCGUUCCCGCUCUCAAAAGACGCCGCAAAUCCGGCGAUCGGACGUAGUCUGGCGUUACAAAAAACAGAGCGCCGCCGCCGCAAGUUCGCGUGCGCAACGAUUCACUCGGCGGGGUCGGCUUCAGGCGUUGGCGGAGUCGGCGUGCGCGGGCUCGUCGGUGUCGGAGCUGCUUCGGUGCUGGGCUGCGUCGGCACGGCUUCGGCACUGCUGGGCGGCAAUGUAGAGGCGUCGUUCGGGCUUGGCGUCCGUGUGGUCGUGGGCGUCGUCGGCGUUGCCGUCGGCAGCUCGUUCAGGAUGAGGCCCCGCUGCACCAGGUACCAUGCCUUGAGCUUCUCGUCGUUGCUCUGGAGCAUGUCCGCCCCGCUCACCAGAAAAGCCAUGUCGGUGUUCCUUUACUUCGCGGCGACGUUCGUCCGGAGCGGAUCGAGCUUGAUGGCGUUGUUCUUCAUUAGCGACGACCACCGCGCCUCGGUCUUCUCUUCGCGUAGGACGGCCUGGGCCUGGGGGUCGGCGAGGCAAUGCUCGAUGGACUCCUGCACUCGCGCGGUUGCCGCGUCGGCACUUUUCCCCUUCUUUGCCAAUUUGUGGCCGUCCGGCUGCCCCUCUGACGCGCCCGGAGUCGUCGCGUCCGGCUUGUAUGUCUCCUUGGCCUUGUCGAGGGCACGUCGGAUUUCCGCCCACUUCUCGCACUUGUCAAUGCGCUUGUAGACGUGGAGGUGCUUGAAGUCGGCGUCUUGGUUGUCGCCCCGAUACAUGGCGAACAUACGCAGCAGCUGCGCGGAGGGACGAACAGUUGGCGGGCGGUGGGCGUAGGGAACGAAGAUAUGCGGGCGAACGGCGUGCGUACCUGAUCCUCAACGAUGGCGCCGCUCUCCGGGCGAGCCGCGACCUCCUCGACGAUUCCAUGCCAUUUGUUGCACGCCAACUGGACACGCCCCCAAUGGUUCGCCAUCGCCUUGGAGCCGCGCUGCAUGUAGACGCCUUUGAAGUAGGGGUCGACGAGCUUCCGCUCGUCGAACUCGGCCUUGAUGCGGUCCCAGUACGUCUCCAAGCUCUGGUUCGCGCCGGUGGUCGGGUCGAGGCAGACGACUUUCCAUGCUUCGGCGAGGCAUUCCUCCUUGGACGUCCACUUGAUGCGCGGUUCGCCUGACCUAGCCGCCCACUUCUUCUUCUUCUGGCGCCCCUUCAUCGGAACAGGAGCCGGCUCCUCCUCCUCCUCCUCCUCCUCCUCGGGUCCCUGCCGUCGUCGCCGUAGACGUAGCCGAGCUCGGCCUCCAUGUCGCCGCUAAGGUCCACUACCUCGUCCUGGGUGGCAAACCCGGGAGACGCGGCGGCCGCGGUCGAUCCUGUCGCGAUGAUGUCGUCCAUGUCAGCUCCCGUGUUGUGGGCGUCACCGAGGUGCGAGAAGGGUAGCGGUCCGCGGUAGAGAUGGGGCAUCGGUGUGGACGCGUAGGCGGCGGGCGGCGAGUAGUUGUAUGGAGGGUACUGCACGCCGACGAAGGCGGGCGAGGGCGUGCGCGUAGCGGGGUGACCAUGAGGGAAGGUCAAGUUUGGGUUGAACCCACCGUGCGCGUCGCCGUCGGCGUAGCCGGGCGACGAUGAACCCCAUGGAGAUCCGGCGCCUUGCUGUCCACAGGGCGCGUACUGGGCGUGGCUGACGACGGAUGGAUUCAUCCCCGCCUGGUUGACCGAUGAGGAAGACGCCGCCGCGCGCGCCGCGUUGUCGCAGGCCUUCUUGGCUAUGGCCCUGUUCCGCCUGUCGGUGGUGACUGCUUCGCGCCGCUGAACUUCCACCCUCCACUCGGCGUUCGACAGGCCCGGUGGCUUCGAUGGCGGCGCCCUCGGCUUCCUCUGCUUCGGCUGGGCCACGGCGCCAGCCGCGGUUGCCGCCGCGCGCGGCAUGGCGUACUUCUUCGGCGGGAUGGCGUACUUCUUCGCGGCGAGCGGGAGGGAGUUUGGCGGGAGAAAAGAAGAGAAUGGCGGGAGGAAGGCGAGCGAGCGGGAGAGAUGCGAGGGAAAAGCGUCAAGAAACGGUGGGAAAAGGCCCUCGGGUCGCCUCCAGGGCGGGCCCACGCGCCUUUUUCGCUUGUGCCGGCUCCCCAAGCGCACCCCAGGGCGCCGGGGUCCGCCGGCACCAGUUUUGGCCCAAGCCGGCGAAAAACGGGCUUCUGGGGGCGCGACUGGGGCCUUUUUUUGGCGCCGGCACGACAAAAUCGUCUGGGGAGGGCCUGUUGGGGACGCGGCUGGAGAUGCCCUUAGGAUCUUGAAAUUCAUUUCUCCACAUACUAGUACCUAUCGGUUCCUUCACCCCUUCUAUCCAUGCCGUUUGUCAUUGCACACUUGCCUUAGCUCUUCUAUAUGUCUAUGCCGUCCCCUUUGUGCAGAAGAAAUCUAUCAUAGAAUGUUUGUACAUUUCUACUUACGCAUCUCUGAAUCAACUUGACUUGAAGAGCUUAUAAGAAGCUUCAGAGUUCGGCAAACAGCAGAACCUACUAUGCUAUUUAAUGAGUAAUUAAUUUAUGAUAGGCUUGGCCUAAAUCCUGUUGUGCGAUGAUUUUGGAAUUUGUAUGCGUUUCAUAACUUGCAGAUUUGAUACGAAAUACUCUUUUCUGUUUUUCCAGGUUCAAUCCAAAGCUCCAAGAUGGUUUGCUGGUGUUUAAGGUUUAUUUUAAUUACAGAGUCUUGAGGUGCCUUAUUUGUACUCUGUAGCUAGCAAUUCAUUGAAGGAGAUCUCUUACAGUCUUACUGGGCUGCCCUCGCACAAAUCAGUAUAUCUUUGUAUGUGGCAGUUGGACUGUUUUGAAACUUUUAUUUUAUUGGGAAGACAUGAACUGAGCAAGCUUGUAAACUAAGAUAAGAUUGGUUGCCACAGUUUAUGACCAUAGAUGAUGUGAUACUUUUACGUAACAAGUAAGGAAAGAGCAUAUGCAUUUGGAUGUGCUUAUUAGGGUGGAUGUUGUCAUAGAAACAAUACACUUGGAAGUGGAUUCCCUCGUCAUUUCUAGAGACCUUAAUUUUACCCAUGAGUUUUCAUGUUAACUCCAUAUAGUAGACAACGCUUGCUUCAAGUUUAUACAUCUUCAUAGUUAUCUGAACAUGUUUUUAAUCAUAUUUUUUAUAUCUAUAAAAAAAUACUGGUAGCUGAUUUUUUUAGGGAGCCAGGAACUGCUGCUUUUUCCUUGUUUUUUUUCCUCCAAAGCGUAUUUUCUCAGUAGAGUGGCAUGUAUACUUUUUUUAAUAAAGGGUGAAUUUUAUUGGCUUGUAAUAAAGCAUCAAGAGGAUAUACAAACACAAUAAAAACACAUCCGGUCUUUGCAUUUGUAAUAUGCACACAGCCGACACCAACACGUGUACACAAAAAAACACGACGCCAAAUAGCAAAGUCAUACGAGAUCAAAGUUAUGCAAAGAUGAGAAAAAAAAACAAGCGGUUAGAUCCGUGAUCGACAAACUAUAACAAUAACCAUAUACGCAACAACCAUCUCAUGACACUACAUGAACAAUGAGGUUCUUCCACAAUAACUCGUUCAGAAAGGAAGCGAUGCUCAAGCACCGUCGUCGGUUUUCACCUUGAAGAAUUAGUCCGAGCAUAUCCAAGCAAUGUCUUCGGUAAGGUAACUAGGUAAAAGAAACAUCGCCAUAUCCGAGCCACAUGGAUGCUUGAGCUUGGCAAAAGUGCUCGUUAUACUGAAAGUGUCAUUCUACUCCCGGGUCCAUAUGCACCCGGGAUGAACCUUAAAAUUCAAAAAAAAAACUAUUUAGAAAAAUCAAAAAGAUUUUUUUGUCGGCAAACAAAAUUUCAUGAUAGAGUGACAUUCGUGAAGGUCCAAAAAAAAGCCAGUGCUUAAAAAUGCUUUCAAAAAUAGUAUUUCUAAAGCAUAGAUUUUUCCUGUCUCGAGCAUUACAUGUGUCUUUUUCUUCACAACACUUUACACGCAGUAGAAACACUCAUCAAUGUUUGUCACAAACAACUCAGAUUAUUUUGAACCAUUUUUAUUUUUCUUGGUAAUUUACAGUUUUUUGGGUACUUUUGUAUUAUUUUGCUGAAACUCCGCAUAAGCUCCCACCCGAUAAGGUUUUGAUUCAAGGGUGUGGCUAGGUCUCAGUCGACUGAGAUUUAACGAAGCUUAGUCAAGUGACAUUACAUGCAAGAAAGAAAAGUCAAAAGCUGAAAAGAAAAUUUUGCACGCAUCUCAAUGUAAGAUCUUAUGGGUGGACUGAGACUUAGGACGCGUUUGGUUACCUGCAUCGUUUUUUGCCACUUUGCAUACUUGUCCCAGUUGGGCCUGACUGAGCAUAUGCAGGCAAAAAACCAAUAUUUGCAUGUUGAUUGGUUGCCUGCAUCCCCUCUAGCCUGCAUGUGCUAAAAUGGAAGGCCUACUGCUGUUUGAUUGCGGACUUGUUUGAUCCUUUGAGGGGAAACACAAUUCCGGUUGUUUGGUUACAUCCAGGACAGUUGUGUGGUAACCUCCUCCUUGAUGUGGUGAGGUUACCAAAGGCACACAUGAACUACUAAGAACUAAACUAGGAGCAACAGAACAAUCUUAGACACAAACAAAAGUCUUACCAUGCAUCACAAGUUUUAAACCAACAUAGUACGAUAAGUUUUAAAUGAAACCUAAGUCUGAAAGCAAGAACCAACAAGGAACGAGCAACAGGAGCUCAGGCGGUCGCGGCGAAGGCGUUGUCAUGCUCCUUGCACUUGGUGACCACCUCCACGCCCUCGACGUUGAAGACGAUCGCCUUCAUGGUGUCGGGGGUCAGCAGCUUGAACGUCAGCAUGUACCCGAUCAUGAUCUGGUGAACGGCGGCGAAGGUGGCCCAACCCCGAUCAAGGGUGACCCUGUCGUUGAUCACCCUCACCGUCACCCUCCAUGCGCAGCCGAUGUUCAUCUUGAGCUUGAACUCUGUAGGGAUGGUGGGGAAGUGCUUCGUGAAGUCCAGAGGCAAUGGUAGACUCUCCAGCUUUGGAGCAAGGAUAACAUUGCAGAAGUGGUUUGUUCCUGACUCCUGAUGGUAGUGGCCAUAGUUCCUCCGCUUGGCGCUUGGGUGAUCCUACACCGAUACUUUGACCAAUUGAGGCACAACCUCCUUGCCCUUAUCCAAUGGUGGCACGACCUCCUUUCCCUUGUCCAUCUGCAUUAUGAACAACAUGCAGUUCAAUGGUCAUCAUUCAUUCAUAUCGGCCUAACGCUCCUAUAUUAACCCACCCACUAACCCAACACCGCACUCAAACCCCCUCCGUUUCACCACCUCUCCUCUUUCCCCUCUUUGUUUCACCACCUCUCCCUCCAUGAACUCCAACUCCAACCCCAAACCUUUCUCGUGGGGCAUUGGAUGGAGGGCCUUCUUGAAGGAAAUAUGCCCUAGAGGCAAUAAUAAAGUUAUUAUUUAUUUCCUUAUUUCCUUAUUUCAUGAUAAAUGUUUAUUUUUCACGCUAUAAUUGUAUUAACCGGACACUUAGUACAUGUGUGAAUACAUAGACAAACAAAGUGUCACUAGUAUGCCUCUACUUGACUAGCUCGUUGAAUCAAAGAUGGUUAAGUUUCCUAGCCAUAGACAUGAGUUGUCAUUUGAUUAACGGGAUCACAUCAUUAGAGAAUGAUGUGAUUGACUUGACCCAUUCCGUUAGCAUAGCACUUGAUCGUUUAGUAUGUUGUUAUUGCUUUCUUCAUGACUUAUACAUGUUCCUAUGACUAUGAGAUUAUGCAACUCCUGAAUACCAGAGGAAACACUUUGUGUGCUACCAAACAUCACAACGUAACUGGGUGAUUAUAAAGGUGCUCUACAGGUGUCUCCGAUGGUACUUGUUGAGUUGGCAUAGAUCAAGAUUAGGAUUUGUCACUCCGAUUGUCAGAGAGGUAUCUCUGGGCCCUCUCGGUAAUGCACAUCACUAUAAGCCUUGCAAGCAAUGUGACUAAUGAGUUAGUUGCGGGAUGAUGCAUUACGGAACGAGUAAAGAGACUUGCCGGUAACAAGAUUGAACUAGGUAUUGAGAUGCCGAUGAUCGAAUCUCGGGCAAGUAACAUACUGAUGAUAAAGGAAACAACGUAUGUUGUUAUGCGGUGUGACCGAUAAAGAUCUUCGUAGAAUAUGUAGGAGCCAAUAUGAGCAUCCAGGUUCCGCUAUUGGUUAUUGACCGGAGAUGAGUCUCGGUCAUGUCUACAUAGUUCUCGAACCCGUAGGGUCCGCACGCUUAACGUUCUGUGACGAUUUGUAUUAUGAGUUAUAUGUGAUUUGAUGACCGAAGUUUGUUUGGAGUCCCGGAUGAGAUCGGGGACAUGACGAGGAGUCUCGAAAUGGUCGAGCCGUAAAUAUCGAUGUAUUGGAAGGCUAUAUUCGGACAUCGGAAAGGUUCCGAGUGAUUCGGGUAUUUUUCGGAGUACCGGAGAGUUACGGGAAUUCGCCAGGAGAAGUAUUGGGCCUUAUUGGGCCAUACGUGAAAGAGAGAGGGGCUGCCUAGGGUAGGACGCGCGCCUCCCCAAGGCCUAGUCUGAAUUGGACUAGGGGGAGGGGCGGCGCCCCCUCCUUCCUUCUCUUCUCUCUUCCAUUUCCUUCUCUCCUACUCCUACUACUUGGAAGGGGGGAAUCCUACUCCCGGUGGGAGUAGGACUCCCCUUGGGGCGCACCUAGGAGGCCGGCAUCCUCCCCCUCCUCCACUCCUUUAUAUACGGGGGAAGGGGGCACCCCAUGGACACACAAGUUGAUCAUUGAUCUUUUAGCCGUGUGCGGUGCCCCUCCACCGUAAUCCACCUCGGUCAUAUCGUUGCGGUGCUUAGGCGAAGCCCUGCAUUGGUAGCUUCAUCAACACCGUCAUCACGCCGUCGUGCUGACGGAACUCUCCCUCGAAGCUCUACUAGAUCGUGAGUUCGUGGGACAUCACCGAGCUGAACGUGUGCAGAUCACGGAGGUGCUGUACGUUCGGUACUAGGAUCGGUCGAUCGUGAAGACGUACGACUACAUCAACCGCGUUGUCAUAAUGCUUCCAAUUACGGUCUACGAGGGUACGUGGACGACACUCUCUCCUCUUGUUGCUAUGCAUCACCAUGAUCUUGUGUGUGCAUAGGAAUUUUUUUGAAAUUACUAUGUUCCCCAACAGUGGCAUCCGAGCUAGGUUUAUGCGUAGAUGUUAUAUGCACGAGUAGAACACAAGUGAGUUGUGGGCGAUACAAGUCAUACUGCUUACCAGCAUGUCAUACUUUGAUUUGGCGGUAUUGUUGGAUGAAGCGGCUGUCAGUGUCAAAACCGGCGGAUCUCGGGUAGGGGGUCCUGAACUGUGCGUCUAAAGCUAAUGGUAACAAGAGACUGGGGACACGAUGUUUACCCAGGUUCGGGCCCUCUCGAUGGAGGUAAUACCCUACUUCCUGCAUGAUUGAUCUUGAUGAUAUGAGUAUUACAAGAGUUGAUCUACCACGAGAUAGUAGAGGCUAAACCCUAAGAGCUAGCCUAUGAUUAUGAUUGUUGUUCUUGUCCUACGGACUAAACCCUUCGGUUUAUAUAGACACCAGAGGGGGCUAGGGUUACACAUAGUCGGUUAUAGAGAAGGAGAUCUAAUAUCCGACUCACCAAGCUUGCCUUCCACGCAAAGGAGAGUCCCAUCCGGACACAAGACGAAGUCUUCAAUCUUGUAUCGUCAUAGUCCAACAGUCCGGCCAAAGUAUACAGUUCGGCUGUCCGGAUACCCCCUAAUCCACGACUCCCUCAGUAGCCCCUGAACCAGGCUUGAAUGACGAUGAGUCCGGCGCGCAGAUUGUCUUCGGCAUUGCAAGGCGGGUUCCAUCUCCGAAUACUCCAUAGAAGAUUCCGAACACAAGGAUCGUGUCUGGCUCUGCAAAAUAAUUUCCACACACCACCGUAGAGAGUACGGUACUUUACAAAUCCAAUCUGCUGACAGUUUUUCCCAGCGUAUUCUUACGUCGCGGCCUAGUUUAAUAUGAACCGUUUUUUCCUUAGCGUGCCAUGAUAUGCCCUGCAAGGCGGUUUUAUUGGCACGUCCUGUCGAAGCAGAGAUCGUGUCCCCCUUAUCGCGGGAUUCUCAUCAAUACGGGUGCGAGUAACCCAACUAUGCCUGUUGGCAUGACUCCGUUUUUUAGGCAAGUCCCAAACGGUUACGCUAAGGAUGCUUGAUAUUCCCCCUCUUUACAGAGGGGUCGAGGUCUAUCCCUUUCUUACCAUGCUUGCGCCUUUCCGCACCUCGAGUUCCACCACCCGAAGCUCAAGCUUAGGCACUUCGGAUCUUCAACCAUGUCCGGAUCCAACCUUCAAGGCCGGUGGAUGGUCUCCUCCGUCACAGAGGAGGACAUUGCGAAGCUCAGGGAGGCCAGAUAUCCGACCGCUGACGUCAAGCACAUGCUUCCUGCUCCAAGGCAGGUCAUCCCUACUCCCGAACCCAACUAGAGUGUUGUGUUCGUUUCUCACUUCCUCUAAGGCUUAGGUUUUACCCUAGAUCCCUUCGUCAGAGGGCUCAUGUUCUAUUAUGGGCUAGAUUUUCACGAUCUAGCUCCGGAUUCCAUCCUUCACAUCUCGUCGUUCAUCGUCGUGUGUGAAGCCUUCUCCACAUCACCCCACACUUCGGCUUAUGGCUCAAGACCUUCAAUGUGAAGCUGAAGAUGAUCGAGGGCGACACGCGGAGUGCGAAGGCGCUGCAAUAAGCAGAAACGCCGAUGCCCCAUGGCCAGAGGGUUCCUUCUCGGAGGUGUCCGAUCUGUGGCAACGGAGGUGGUUCUACGUCACAGCUCCCCGAGGCACACAGUGGGCGGCUGCCCCCGCCUUCCGCUCGGGCCCUCCGCCUCAACUGGCAUUGUGGGCCAAAGUGGGACUGGACUGGGGGCCUGCAAAUGACGUACCAACAUUGCAGAGCCGCAUUCGGGAGCUUCUUGAGAGGGAUAUCAAUCUUGUCAGAAUCAUUCAGGUAACGCUAGUUCGACGGGCCCUGCCGUGCAAAUGUCGACCUCUUUGGAUGUGGGAGUUCAAUCCAGAAGGUCCGCAAACCAUUCAGCAUUUCUUCGGCAUGACGCUCGAAGGGAUGUAUAAGUUAUUCUUCAGACCACGAGUAAAGUGUCCGGACACCACCGAUGAUGCGGGCCUAAGCUGCAACCGCCCAGAUACCCAAGUAAGUAACCUGUGACCGAACACUUCGUUUAUAUUCAUCACAACAUUAUUCUGAAAACUGUCUGCAUCCAGGAUUGGCUCAGCAAGGCAGAGAGGAUCAGGUGUCCGGCCCCACUUCCCGAGGGCUCGCCUAGUCCUGCAAUAGCCAGGAUGCUUAGACGUGCGCUAAGCCAAGUGCCCUCGAGGAAAGGGGAAGAGAAGAACAGAGAAGCCUAGCUCCACACAUUGCAAAUCGAAACCGGGGGAAUUACUGUCUCCACGAAGGAGGAUAAUCAGGAAGGUGAAUCCAAGGUUUCCUCCCCCCGCAGGAAGAAAAGGGCCGCCUCCGAAGACUUGGAGACGGAGGUGCCUAAGCAAGGGAAGAAUACUUCACCAGGGGGCCCUGCCCCAAAGGGCGUCCUCACGCACCAUGCCCGCAAACGGGCCAACCCUCCACUGAGCUGUAAGUUAAUCGUAAAUAAAAAGUUAUUGCUUUUUUCCUCUGAGAACAAUAACCAGGAUCCAUCUUUUGCAGUCCGGCUAGUAGCUCAUCUCAAUAGAGUUCGUCUUCGGGGGAUCUUCUUCCGGAGAUGAUGGAGAGUGAAAACCCACCUGCCUCUCCGCCCCAUGGGGUGGGCGACCCUGAGGUGUCAUCAUGGAGGAGUCCAGAUCCGCCGAGGCCGGAAGCUAACACUUCGGCCACCCCGAGCCCGGCGUGUUCGGCUCCCAUGGAGGGCAACAAGAAGGAUCCGGGACAGUCCGGCGCCCGGCCGAACAUACUGACGGGCCUCCUGGAGCAAGCUGCUCUCUCGGAGGAUCACCGUACGUUAAUGGGUACGGUGUUGGAGAAGAUUUCAUCCGCCACAAGCGGGUUGAAUGAGGCUUUUACGAGCCUACUCAAAGGCUUUGAGGUACGCCACGAAACACGUAAUUUUUUGGUUGUACCGCACGCGCUAGGUGUGCUCUAUAUAGAUAGUAGCCCCUGAGACUCUCGUUGCCAGCCCUAGGUGGCAAACGGAGGAUCACACUCCCAGGUAAUGAUCGCACUGUAUUCAUGUGCAGGUGGCUAAGGGUCCGGCGGUAGACCGGCCGCUGAAUUCGCCGAACUGAGGUGACGGAUUGAUGUGGUGGAUGCCGACAUCACGCUUGUAAACAAGCGGGUUGACGAGUCACAGACUAUGUGCUCAUUUUCCCUUAUUUGUUUAGGAAAUAUUAAGAGGAUUGUAAUGUUAAUAUGGUAUGAUUUGGCUGCAGGCGGAGCUGCUGCCAUUGAGGCCCUAAGGGCGGAACUUGCCCUAGCCAAGGAACAAGCCCGGGCUAGCAAUGCGGCUACCCUAAAGGCGGCCGAAGAUUUGAGAGCCGAACAGGCUACUCAUCGCCGAAGCGAAGGAAAAAUAGCCGAGAUGUCUAUGGAGCUGAGGGACGCCGCCAUCCGGUAUGAGCUUCUCGAGAAGGAGAAUCAGGCAAAGUCGGCUGACCUGAAGAAGGCCCUGGAUGCGGCUAAGGAGACGCGCUCUGAAAUUAGAGCUGCGCGGGAGGAGCUUUGACAGGCCGGAGACAUCGCGGCUGGAAGCCCCUAUUUGUUGCGGAUGAAGUUUGGAGACCCCAAGUACGCUCCUCUAGAUCAACUUAUGAGUGCUGCGGAAGCGUAUGCGGAUCUGGCGAAAAGUGUGGCUGAUGCAACCAAGUUCUUCAAGGAUCAAAAAGAUAAUGACGUAGAAAGGUUGUUCUGGUCGCAAUUUAAUGCUCCGACGCGCCCGCUGCCAUUGAGUGAGAGGAUGGCCGCUAUGGCCGAGCUCCAUAGGUUUUCCGGUCUUGCCAUGAGGUCCAUAAUAGACCAUCUAUGGCCAAAGGGACUAAGGCCGGGCAGUUAUUUUGGUUUAGUGCAACAAUUCCUUCAUGCUGUAUCGAGAAUCGAUGCCAUGAGGAGGUCAGCGUGCAUAGAGGGUGCGCGGAUGGCUCUUGCCCGUGUUAAGACGUAUUGGGCGGAUAUGGAGGCCACCAGCAUUGCAACCCAGAGUCCAGCAGGAAGCCAGGACCCAACCGAGCACUAUUUUGAGCAGGUCAUAGAAGGUGCCCGUAUAAUAGAGGCUCGGUGCUCGAAGAGUGUCAUGUUCGAGUGACAAAUCAUUUAAUUGUAAAAACAAUUCUGUGUUAAUUAUAAAGGCUGUGUUUAUACUUUCGCCUGAAAGUUUUAUAGUGCCUCCUGUGCGGCCGUUUAUGUAUGUAUAUAACCUGAAAGUUAGCAGUCAUUGGCUUCAGCCCCCACACAUAUAAUGCGGGGGUGUUCGAGAAAAUGUGCAUAAUCACACUUGAUCCAACGUCUUGGUCCACUAAGGAGGUGAUUGCAUGUCGAACUAGGCAACCGGACUAUAUAGCUGUAACACUUUCACUUAGCCAUAGGAGUUUGACAGUGGGGCCACUAUGUAGCCCCUAGUACCUCCGCGUGCAUCCGGAUAGGGGCGCGUAUGUACAUGACCAGGAAACGGUCCUUCGUUAAUGCGGAGGAAUCCUAAAGAUUCCGAUGAGUCCUCGAGUGGUUGACCAGUCUCUCGUUGUAUCAUGACAGUCAGUUUUCAGCUUUCUCUACUGAGGUGCUCAUCUGGAAUAACCAGGGCACAAUCGCAGUAGUUCUCCUUUGGCCGCCUUAGCCGAUAGAACGGAAUGUAAGGCAUCAAACCCAGGAGCCAGGCAAACCCAACAUUUGACCAAAGACAUGAUUCAGAGCUGAUGCAUAUAAGGCCAAACUCGCGACGCCGAACACUCCCGAAGGUAUUCGGACUUUAUAACAUAUACUGGGCUGAGCAACGCCCUCGAUUAUGAACCCUGUAUUUCCAGGUAUGUGCAUUAAUCUGUCGUGGAAAAAUGCCUAUGACGCAAGUAUCCCCUGUGGGUGUAUUGAAUACCCAUGGGAUGUCCAGCAACAAGAGACAACAAAGAAGGUUUACACAGGGGCUUAAUCUAAAGAGAAACCUUUGAGCGGGGCCCUGCUGCACGUCUGCGCCUUUGUCUCUGUUGUGCCGUAUCCUGGAAGGGUGUCACAUGAAUAGUGUCUAUAAAAAUGAGAAACUCAUGUAAAAGAGUAUGGAGUAAGCUGCGAAAAGUUGUUUAUGAUGAAUAUUGAGAAAUGUGAGGUAUUGGCAUAUUAAUAAGGUCAAGCCAAAUUGUGGGCCUUGUUACAUGUUUGCAGCCCCUGGUACCAUCUAUGGGGGGUAUAUGUAUAGCACCCAACUUAGGUUUAUCUGGGCUAUUACCGACGGUGGUGCACCGGACUCGUCUAACCGUGUCCGUGGUCUUAAUGACCGAUCAUACGUUUCAGUGGGAGAGGCCGCUUAGUGUCCGGCUGCAAGAGCCGCCGCAUACUCUUCCGUUCGUAAGGAAUGCUCUGUGUUUCCGCUAACAUUGAUGACGCCACGUGGACCGGGCAUCUUGAGCUGAAGGUAGGUGUCGGUGUCAAAACCGGCGGAUCUCGGGUAGGGGGUCCCGAACUGUGCGUCUAGGCGGAUGGUAACAGGAGACAAGGGACACGAUGUUUUACCCAGGUUCGGGCCCUCUUGAUGGAGGUAAAACCCUACGUCCUGCUUGAUUGAUAUUGAUAUUGUAGAUGUUUACAAGAGUGGAUCUACCACGAGAUCAAGGAGGCUAAACCCUAGAAGCUAGCCUAUGGUAUGAUUGUAAUGGUUGUUGUUGUUGUCUCUAUCGACUAGCCUGGCCUCGGUUUAUAUAAUGCACCAGAGGCCUAGGAUAACAAGAGUCCUAGCCGAAUACGCCGGUGGGGGAGGGGUCCUUGUCUUGAUCGCCACGUCUUGUGGAAUCUUCCUUGUAUGCGGCAACUGUCCGGACUGGCCCAUGAGUAUACGGCCAUGGGGAUCCUCGGCCCAAUCCAACUGAUCGGGAGACGACGUGGUGAGUACCCCCUAGUCCCGGACACCGUCAGUAGCCCCCUGAACCGGUCUUCAAGUUGGGGAUGCUCCUCGAUUCUUCCGAACUGUUCUUCAUCUUCGGUCGUCGGUCUUGAGAACUGGUUCAACAAAUCUUCUCAUCUUUGAUCUUGAGGAUCGUCGAAAUGCAUUCGACGAGUUUAUACGUCGGGUAUCCGAGGAGCCCCUUUAAGUUUCCGGCCUUUAUCAAUGCCUUGUUAUUUUUAUGCCACACCUCGGGUUUGAAGUUGUUCCCGGGCGGCAACGUCCUCUUGCGUCCGAGCUCCAACGCCGGACUGCAUUCAAGGUAUCUUUUGCAGCCGAGCACCAAUGCCGGACUGCUUCCCAGCUCUAACGCCGGACUAUGUAUCCGAGCUCCAACGCCGGACUAUAUCCGAGGUGUCGUAAAUCACCUUGGUUCAAAGAAGUUUGAAGGAGUUUAGCCGAGCUUAAUGCCGGAAGUGCCCUCUAUGGAGCCAGCCACUAGCGCCCGAGCUUUACGCCGGACUGCUUCUAAGGUGGUGCACCACCCCGAAUGUGGGCCGAUUUUUGUCAAUAUUUUUGAUUGGUGCCAGUAGCCCUCAAGGUGGGUAUCGGUCUAAAACCCGAGAUGCACAUGAAGGAUGACAUAAGACCGCUGAUCCCCGUAGCCGCUGAGACUCAGGUUGAUUUGCAAAAUCGGUCUGUGGAUCAAGUCCUAGCUCGGCAGAAUACUUUGGGACACAAAAAGUGGCGUGCUCAGUCCUCGAGACUCAGGUUGGGUGCGGACGACCAACCUGAGGAUCAAAAUCUCCUCGGAAACUGUAUUGCACUUAAAAUUUUCUGCAUAGAACAUGCAAUGCAGUAGCCCCCGAGACACUGGUCGGGUGGCAACACCAGAUCAAGGGAUUGAUGUGCCCCUUUAAUAUUUGUAAAUAAUAAGCCCGAAGCCCAGUAGCCCCCGAGCCUUAAUGCGGGCACAGGAGGCCGAAUUGAGGAUCGAUAUCCAUAGUAAAAUCACAAAUUAUGUGUAAUGACUCUAUGUAUCCAAGUACUUUACGUCAUUAAUGCUCGGAUCCGCAUUGUACAAAACUUUGUUGACCGACCAUCGGCUUCCACCUCCUCAGCCAAUAGCCAAGGAGUGUUUGUCCUACUUUAUAAAGCCUUUAUGAGGGCAAAGAUUUACAACAAACAAGGCAAUCUGGCCAUACGGUUUUAUAAACAAAGGUAUGCGGAGAGACAUGUUAUAUUACUGUUUAACAGAAGAAAUGUCUUCCAGAGAAAAUAGUCCCGCUAUCGGUUCCUUUCUUUGGGUUGUCAUGCUAAGCAUGAUCAUGAAACCUCUGCUCCAAUGUAAGAGCAAAAUAUCGAGGAUUUAGUUUGGGAGGCCAGUUAAUAGCCCUCGAUAGUGUUCGACGACAGUCGAGGUCAAGCCGGAAACACUUAGGCCAAUGAAUGGCCCGUCAUUUAAUAUAGUCAUCGGAUCGCUGACCAGUUUACACCUAUUGUGAUAGUCAGUUUUCGGCUUUCUCCACUGAGGUGCUUGACCAUGUGAGCUGGAAGCACAAUCGCAGUGGUUCUCCCUUUGCACACCUAGCCGAACAAAGCAGAACGUAGGAGGCAAGCGCGGGAGCCGGGCAACCCAACUAUUGACCAAAGACACAAUUCGAAACUGAUGCAUAUAUAGCAAUAUCCGAGAAUGUUUUUGCCGAAUCUCAAAAGGUGUCCGGCGUUGCACUGCGAGACUUGUGCUGAAAACACACAAAUAGUUUAAAAAGUGCCAUGGGCUCGAAAAGCCAAAAAAAUUAUUCAAAAGAUUAAUGUCCGAACUAGAUCAAGUGUUCGGUGCCAAUUCGAAAAUUGGACUUUAGAAAAAGGUGCUUCUGUCGUGCUUUAACAUGACACAUCCUAUCUCAAAACUUCAAGCGGGCCAGCCUACGGCUUCUUUGAGAGAGAAAUUAGGCUCCCCGGCUAGUGACCGCACACUUGUGUCGAAGGAGUGAUAAAUAAUAAUAAAAACUUUGCAACGACUAAGAAGAAAAACACUUAUCAUAAAACGGCUCAUAUAAAUUUAAGAGCCCCCAAGUGACUUGGGUAAAAGUUGAUAAUGUAAGGUGACAUGUAGAAUGCCUUCUAGCCGGAUUGUAGAUCGUUUGUCGUAGCGGACAUUUUCGCUUCAACCUCUGGACCCAAUAGUCCGGAGUGUGUCUGAAUACCCUUGCGGUUAUAAAAACCGGGGCAUGCGUGGAGACCAGGCGUAGGGGUCAUUAGUGCUUUAUCAGACAAGUGCCCAACUAGUUAUGUUAUAUUACAUGGUUAGUAAGAAACAUCUUCCAGGGAGAAUAGUUCCGUUAGGGGUUCCUUUCCCUGGGAGGCAUGCCCUAAAGUGCAUGUCCGGACUGCGAAAAGAGCAGAAAAACAUGUGGGGGCAGGUAAAUAAAUGGGUAAGAAAUCAUCUUUUAGUUCACCGACCAAGUAUUCCCUUAAGAACGCUAGCUUUCGGCUUCACCCAGUCUGAGGUACACAUCCGGCUGACCCGACAGUAACAAUCGCAGAGGUGCUCCCUUUACCACCUAGCCGAACAAUCGGGAACGUAGGGGUAAGCACAGGAGCGAGGCAACCCAGCUUGGCCAAAACUUAAGUCAUAUCAAUGCAUAUAAUGGUGAAUAAAAGGUACAUGCGGAAGUGUGACACUGUGUUGGGCAUAAAGCCCGAAUUAAUAAGCUUUUGUUAAAGAAGCCCCCAGGUAUAAUGAGCGCGGGUAGCGCAUCAAGUGUGUGCGAACAAAGUUUCGACGAGGAAGAUUUUUACAAGCAACUUUUUUCCGAGAAAGUAUAAUGCUUGGUCGAACCGAACACAAGUUAGAAAUUUUAAAACUUUGAGCAUGAAGGCAACUUAGCUGGUUAAUGUGUUCGGUAUUGACGAUGUGGUCCGAGCUUGAUGCGGGACAAGGUUCCAUCCCCCAAGCCGGUCCCGAGGUGGCGGAGCAAAGAGCUCGGCGCUGUGAAGUGGUGACAUAGCAUGGUCAAUGUAGGACGGCAGAGUGAUGCCAAAGUCCCUGGCAUGGGGUAAUGAAGUGUUGACGAAGCCCCCUGUCCAGCCGAGGUGACGUCAAAGGAUAUAGUCCGGCUGGAUCAUUUUCCUGUGCACAAGAAACAGUGCAGACCGGGGAUAAUAGUAAUAAUAGGAAUUAAAAAAAUGUUGCAUAAUAAAUAAUUUAUGCAAAGUGAGUAGUAAAAGAAAUAUGGCCUGGCGCCGGAGUUGAUGUCGAUGCAGGUCGUCGGCGUAAUGCAAUAAAGGUGUGGCAAAGCCUGGAUUCACUGGUCGGUCCGAGUUCCGGGUGCGGCGUUCGCCGAACUGUGUACGGAAACUGAUCGAACCAUCACGCGACCGUCGAUAAUGCGGCCACCAUUUGAUAGACCUGUGUACAUAUGCAGGACUAACCAGAGUAAUAAUUCCUUGGGAAAAAUUUAACCCAAACGAGCAAAAAGAAAUACUAGGAUUAAUAGCACCUGGUUUAUUUGUUGUAGCAAUCCGAAGGAAGGUGAUUCCCAAAAUUGGGACUCGAUCCGCGCACCCAUGUCUGGUCGGCUAGUGACGCCGAAGUGUCCGGAGUAGGUUGAUGAAGAGAUGGCGAAGCCCCCGGUCCAGCCUAGAUGUCGAAGUAGGUCGGCGUGAUGGACACCAGCUUGAAGAACCAAUAGUGCGGCCCUGCCGAUGCAGGUUGUGACAUGGUCGAUGCCGGCUUGAUGAAGCGACCGUGCGGCGAUGCCGGUAUGCCUGCUCCGUGUAAUCCGUGGGGCGGCGAUGUUGGUGAUGAUUUAUCCUUCGCGAUGCCGGACUCUUGUUCGGUUUGCCAAGAUGAUGAUCCAAAGAAGUUGAGCUUGGCUCAACAAAGUGACGACGUGUCUAGCGCAGGUCGGCCGCCGUGGAGCAAUAUUGCCGGACUGGUUUGACACCAGCGAUGAUGUUGAAGAUCAUGUUCAAAAGAUCUUAAGGUUAGUGGGAUGUGUUUGGGAACAAUACACAAUAUCCCAUACAAAACUUCCUUCAAAAAGGAUGUCCGAAAUCCCGUUCAUAAAAAAGAUGAAUUCGGGUCGGAUUCGUUCUCGCGCAGAAAACAAAUCCGAAAAGUCAUGCACUAAUCGGAAGGUUCCCGGAGUUCUGACGGUCGGAUCGAGCUGAAAUUUGGAGGGGUGGUAGACAUAGGAAUUCCGCAGCCGAUCAACGGUUGGAUCUUCCAAAGGACGUCCGAGCUAGAAGCUGGACACCACGCCCUAAACUCGUCCAGAUUCCCGUCCAGAUUUGACAGGGCUCCGGUAUAUCGUGGAUUGCGAGAGAUUCCUCCAUCGGAAUUCGACAAAAUUUUCCAGGGUUGUUGUAGACUCAAUUCCGCACAAUUCCACCAAAGUGAUCGUCAAAGCAAUACUCGAGGAGGUGGUGGCAGCAGAUACGAGUUUGAUGUCCAGAAAAACAGCACGGUCGCUUGAGGGCAAUGUUGACGUUGAGCCCCCGAGCUCCAUGGAUGAUUCCUCCGUGAUCUUGAUAGAGAUCGGAGUUGAUGUUUGAUGAAGGCCCUCGUCCGAACAUGGUGAUCCGAACACGGGGCACAAUUCUUGGUUGAACCAAGGUGACCAGUCGAGUUGGUGACAAAGGUGCCGAAGUCGCAGUUGAUCUGCAGGCGAGCCAUCGAUCCUUUUGUCGAUCACACAGCGGAACUCUCAAUGAAAGCAUCAAUGUCGGUGUCAAAACCGGCGGAUCUCGGGUAGGGGGUCCCGAACUGUGCGUCUAGGCGGAUGGUAACAGGAGACAAGGGACACGAUGUUUUACCCAGGUUCGGGCCCUCUUGAUGGAGGUAAAACCCUACGUCCUGCUUGAUUGAUAUUGAUAUUGUAGAUGUUUACAAGAGUGGAUCUACCACGAGAUCAAGGAGGCUAAACCCUAGAAGCUAGCCUAUGGUAUGAUUGUAAUGGUUGUUGUUGUUGUCUCUAUCGACUAGCCUGGCCUCGGUUUAUAUAAUGCACCAGAGGCCUAGGAUAACAAGAGUCCUAGCCGAAUACGCCGGUGGGGGAGGGGUCCUUGUCUUGAUCGCCAAGUCUUGUGGAAUCUUCCUUGUAUGCGGCAACUGUCCGGACUGGCCCAUAAGUAUACGGCCAUGGGGAUCCUCGGCCCAAUCCAACUGAUCGGGAGACGAUGUGGUGAGUACCCCCUAGUCCCGGACACCGUCAGUAGGCAUAGUGCGGUACUGCGUUGAAGUGAGAAAAAGGUCGUUCUUCCAAGUAAUGCAUGAUAACCGCUGCUGAAGGGAGCGAUGUCGAAGAGUAAUUCUUUGCUUCCGUAGUUGUCGGGAGAACCGAAUGUCACCUCUAAUAUGAGGGAGCCCCUGCAGCGGGCCUCAAUGCCUGGUAUCACUCCUUUAAAGGUGGUGUUACUUUGGCUGAUUCUAGAUGGGUCUAUCCCCAUCUUGCGGAUGGUGUCCUGAUAUAUCGGGUUAAGACUGCUGCCGCCGUCCAUGAGGACUCGAGUGAGAUGGUAUCCAUUGAUUAUUGGGUCGAGCACCAAGGCAGCCGAUCCUCCGUGCCGGACACUAGUCGGGUGGUCCCUGUGAUCAAAGGUGAUCGGGCAGGCCGACCAGGAGUUGAAUUUGGGGGCAACGGGCUCUACAGCGUAUACAUCAUAGAUCAUGUUUACUGUUUUGACUUCAGGUGGUAAUUUUUUCUAUCCCCCAGUGUUCGGCUGGCGAGGCUCAUCCUCAUCUUCACCUGGUGUUUCCCUUUCCUUGUGUUCGGUGUUUAACUUGCCGGCCUGCUUGAAGACCCAACAUUCUCUGUGAGUGUGAUUCGCAUGUUUUUCGGGGGUGCCAUGAAUUUGGCACAAUCUGCCCAAGACUUUAUUCAGGCUGGAUGGUCCCUCUUUGCUGCCUUUAAAUGGCUUCUUUCUUUGACCGGGUCGAGAGCCCCUGAAUCCGACGUUGACCGCCGUGUUGUCCGGACUUCCUUCAUUGUUCUGACGCUUGUUCUUACUGUGCCGUGGCUUCCCGUUGCCAUCCCUAAUUUCGGAUGUGCCUGAGUCAUUGGUGCCUCUACGGGCCAACCAGCUGUCCUCGCCCGCACAAAAGCGGGUCAUAAGGCUUGUUAAGGCCGCCAUUGUCCUCGUCUUUUCUUGGCCGAGGUGUUUGGCCAGCCACUCGUCCCGGAUACUGUGCUUGAAGGACGCUAGGACUUCGGCAUCUGGACAGUCAACAAUUUGAUUCUUCUUAGUGAGAAAUCUGUUCCAAAGCUUGCGGGCUGACUCUCCGGGCUGUUGUAUUAUGUGACUUAAAUCGUCUGCGUCCGGAGGUCGGACAUAGGUCCCUUGAAAAUUGGCCCUGAAAGCGUCCUCAAGUUCCUCCCAGCUUCCGAUUGAAUUUUCGGGGAGACUUUUCAACCAGUGCCGAGCUGGCCCUUUCAACUUGAGGGGAAGGUAUUUCAUGGCGUGGAGGUCAUCCCCACGAGCCAUGUGGAUAUGAAGGAUAAAAUCUUCAAUCUAGACCCCAGGGUCCGUCGUUCCGUCGUAUGCCUCUAUGUUCAUGGGUUUGAAUCCCUGUGGAAAUUCGUGAUCCAGCACCUCGUCGGUGAAGCACAGAGGGUGCACAACCCCUUUGUAUCUGGACAUGUCGUGGCAUGUUGUCGACUGUUGUUGUGUCCGGUGUUGAUUCCGAACUGGUAUUCGAUCAGUGUGAUCGUUUUGGUGACCAUAAUCCCGCGCCAGAGCGUGUCCUCUGGAUCCGUAGAUGGACCUCGUCGCGCCGGCCUUUUUGUCUAGAAGCUCACGUAAAUCGUGUGCGGCGUCACUGGCUGCUCUAUCGUGGCCAUGAAGUGGUUGGUCCGGAUGAUUGGCCGUAUUGUUCUUCGGCGGGAUGGGCUCUACGACCUCAUCAUCGAAUUCAGGCAUUAGCUUGCGUUUUGGGUAGCUCUUUGUGUGGCGAUCGUCGCCAUAUUUUCCUUCAGUGUCUAGCACCUUAUUCCAUGUGUUGUUGAGCGUAUCCUGCGCGGCCUUAAGCCUUUGCUUCUGCUUUUUUAGACUCCUCACAGUGGCCAUAAGCCUGAUGACCCACAAGUGUAGGGGAUCUAUCAUAGUCCUUUCGAUAAGUAAGAGUGUCGAACCCAACGAGGAGCAGAAGGAAAUGAUAAGCGGUUUUCAGUAAGGUUUUCUCUACAAGCACUGAAAUAGUAGGUGAUAGAUAGAUUUGUGAUAAGAUAAAUAGUAACGAGCAAAAGUAAAUAAAGUGCAGCAAGGUGGCCCAAUCCUUUAUGUAGCAAAUGAUAAGCCUGGACAAAUUCUAAUAAUGAGGAAGGAGCUCCUGAGGACACAUUGGGAAUUAUCGUCAAGCUAGUUUUCAUCACGCUCAUAUGAUUCACGUUCGGUACUUUGAUAAUUUGAUAUGUGGGUGGACCGGCACUUGGGUGCUGCCCUAACUUGACAAGCAUCCCACUUAUGAUUAAUCCCUAUUGCAAGCGUCCGCUACUACAAAAAGGAGUAUUAAGGUAAACCUAACCACAACAUUAAACAUAUGGGUCCAUAUCAACCCCUAACGAAGCAACACAUAAACUAGGGUUUAAGCUUCUGUCACUCUAGCAACCCAUCAUCUACUUAUUACUUCCAUAUGCCUUCCUCUAGGCCCAAAUAAUGGUGAAGUGUCAUGUAGUCGACAUUCACAUAACACCACUAGAGGAGAGACAACAUACAUCUCAUCAAAAUAUCGAACGAAUACCAAAUUCACAUGACUACUAAUAGCAAGACUUCACCCAUGUCCUCAGGAACAAACGUAACUACUCACAAAGCAUAUUCAUUUCAUAAUCAAAGGUGUAAUAAUAUGCAUUAAGGAUCUGAACAUAUGAUCUUCCACCAAGUAAACCAAUAAGUAUCAACUACAAGGAGUAAUCAACAGUACUAGCAACCCACAGGUACCAAUUUGUGGUUUUGGAUACAAGAUUGGAUACAAGAGAUGAACUAGGGUUUGAGAGGAGAUGGUGCUGGUGAAGAUGUUGAUGGAGAUUGAACCCCUCCCGAUGAGAGGAUCAUUGGUGAUGACGUUGGUGAUGAUUUCCCCCUCCCGGAGGGAAGUGUCCCCGGAAGAACAGCUCCGCUAGAGCCCUAGAUUGAUUCCGCCAAGGUUCCGCCUCGUGGCGGCGGAGUUUCGUCUCGUAAGCUUGCCCAUGAAUUUUUCCAGGACAAAACCCUUCAUAUAGCAGAAGAUGGACGCCGGAGGCCCACCAGGGAGCCCAGGAGAUAGGGGGGCGCGCCCCUAGGGGGGGCGCCCCCUGUCUCAUGGACAGGGUGUGGGCCCCCUGGCCUAUUUCUUUUGCUCAUAAUUCCUUAAUAAAUCCAAAAAGUUGUUUCGUGGAGUCUCAGGUCUUUUGGAGUUGUGCAGAAUAGGUUUCCAACAUUUGCUCCUUUUCCAGCCAGAAUUCCAGCUGCCGGCAUUCCCCCUCUUCAUGGUAAACCUUGUAAAAUAAGAGAGAAUAGCCAUAAGUAUUGAGAUAUAAUGUGUAAUAACAGCCCAUAAUGCAAUAAAUAUUGAUAUAAAAGCAUGAUGCAAAAUGGACGUAUCAACUCCCCCAAGCUUAGACCUCGCUUGUCCUCAAGUGGAAACCGAAAUCAAAAAAUAUGUCCACAUGUUUAGAGAUAGAGGUGUCGAUAAAAAUAAAAAUACGGACAUGAGGGCAUCAUGAUCAUUCUAAUAACAGCAACAUAUAUGGAUUUUGUCAUAUGAUUUCCUAUGUUCAAGUGAUAAGCAGUUCACAAUGUCAAGUAUGGUUCAAAAACUUCAUUGGGAACUAACAAACUAUAAUCUCAGUCAUUGAAGCAAUUGCAAUUUAUUGUAACAUCAGAAAGAGUCACUAAUAGAGCUUCUCAGCAAGCUCACAUACUCAACUAUCUCAUAGUCUCCCAUAAUUGUUAACACUCACGCAAUACUUGUGGUUAUAGAGUUUCAGCCGGACACUAAGAAAGAUAGGGGCUUAUUGUGUUGCCUCCCAACGUAUUCACCUUUAGGUGAUGUCAACAAUAAUUGCCUAUGCCAACUUACAUCCAAUCGGAUAUAUAUAUCAUGAUCUUUCAAACACGAAGAGCUUGCCAAAGGAUAAAAUGAAAAAGGAAAAGGUGAGGAUCACCUUGACUCAAGUAUUAAAGUAAAACAUAAAGUAAAAGAUAGGCCCUUCGCAGAGGGAAGCAGAGGUUGUCAUGCGCUUUCAGGGUUGGAUACACAAAAUCUUAGUGCAAAAGAACGUCACUUUAUAUUGCCCCUUGUAUGUGGACCUUUAUUAUGCAAUCCGUCGCUUUUAUUACUUCCACAACAAGUUCGUACAAAGCUUAUUUUCUCUGCACUAAUAAGUCAUGCAUAUUUAGAGAGAAAUUUUUAUUGCUUGCACCGAUGACAACUUACUUGAAGGAUCUUACUCAAUCCAUAGGUAGGUAUGGUGGACUCUCAUGACAAAACUGGGUUUAAGGAUAUUUGGAAGCACAAGUAGUAUCUCUACUUGGUGCAAGGAGUUUUGGCUAGCAUGAGGGGGAAAGGCAAGCUCAACAUGUUUAGAAGGUCACUGACAAUAUACUUUAACUGAGAUGUCGGAAAACAUAAACCAUUACGUUGUCUUCCUUGUCCAACGUCAACUCUUUUAGCAUGUCAUACUUAAUGAGUGCUUCACAAUCAUAAAAGAUGUCCCAGAUAAUAUAUCUAUAUGUGAACCCCUCUUUCCUUAUCACUUCCUAUUAAUUGCAACGAUGACCAAGGCUACGUUCAUCAACUCUCAACAAUUUUUAUGCCUCAUACUUUCUAUAUGUGAAGUUAUCACUAUCCAUAAGAUCUAUCUGAACUCUUUUGUUCUUUCUACUUUCUCAAGAUCAUAGCAACAUAGCAAAGCCCUUGACUCAACACUAAUCUUUAUUAUAGAUAGCACACGGACUCGCUUACAAAAAGAGAUCACAACGAAAAACUCAAAACUACUUGAUAUCAAAACUUCGAACUAAUAGAUCAAGAUACUACUAAAAGGAUCGAACUAAAUAAAGCGGUAAAGAAAGGAGUGUGAUGGUGAUACAAUACCGGGGCACCUCCCCCAAGCUUGGCGGUUGCCAAGGGGAGUGCCCAUACCCAUGUGAUUAUUUCUUUGGAGGUGGUGAAGUAAGAGUUGUCGCACUUUCUUCUCUAGCUUGCGUCUAAGGCUAAAAUUUUCCUCCCUCAGAUCCUCAUUCUCGAGCUCAAGUUUCAUUAUCUUUUUGCAUAGUGUUGCCUUGCUGUCCUGCAAAAAACGCGGUGGGAUAGAUUGGACCUUAGGGAGACUUGAUUUCUUGAACUCCACAUGCAUAUCACCAGGUUGAGGCAGUGGAUCGUCCUCUUCAUCAGAGCUUGUCUCCUCCUUCCUCUUUGGAUCAUAGUCUUCUUCUUCCUCUAUGGUCCAUCCAUAGCGUUCCACAUCCCCAUAUACUUUUGGAUUUGCAAUAUAAUCAGCUAUGUAGCUUUCUCCCUCCGAAUCUUGGGAUGACAUCUUGUUCAAUUCUGCAGCAGGAACAACUCGAAACGAAAACAGAGGAUAUUUGCGUGAUACGGUGGUAAAAACCUUCGGGAGUAUAUAUAAUGAAUUUUUACCGACCAAAAUACGUAACAUACAAGAAAACGGAGUCCGGGAGGCACAGGAGGUGCCCACAAGACAGGGGGCGCCCUCCUCUCUCAUGGAAGCCUCGUGUCCCUUUCGGAUUACUUCUUUCUUCCUAAAAUCCUUAAAUAAUCCAAAACUGAUGAAAAUUGCCAUUAGAGUUGUUUUGGAGUCGAUUUACUUACCGUACCAUGUAUCUAUGCCUUUUCGGAGUCUGGAACAUUCUGGAAAGUGUCUCUUAUGUAUUCCUCAGGGGUUAUGGUUUAAAUAAUAUUAGUUUCAACAUUGAUAGGAUUACCUGAAAUAUAAUGUUUAAUUCUUUGACCGUUUACCACGCUCGGAUUUGUGCCUUCAAAGUUGUUGAUUUUUUUAGCACCAAAACGAUAGACCUCCUCGAUAACGUAGGGACCUUCCCAUUUUGAGAGAAGUUUUCCUGCAAAAAAUCUUAAAAGAGAGUUGAACAAUAACACAUAAUCUCCUACGUUAAACUCACGCUUUUGUAUCCUUUUAUCAUGCCAGCGUUUGACUUUUUCUUUGAAAAGCUUAGCAUUCUCAUAUGCUUGGGUUCUCCAUUCAUCAAGUGAGCUAAUAUCAAAUAACCUUUUCUCACCGGUAAGUUUGAAGUCAUAAUUAAGCUCUUUAAUAGCCCAAUAUGCUUUAUGUUCAAGUUCAAGAGGUAAAUGACAUGCUUUUCCAUAAACCAUCUUAUAUGGAGACCCAUAGGAUUUUUGUAUGCAGUUCUAUAGGCCCAUAAUGCAUCAUCAAGUUUUUUGGACCAAUUCUUUCUAGAUCUAUUUACAGUCUUUUGCAAAAUUAAUUUGAGCUCUCUAUUGCUCAACUCUACUUGACCACUAGACUGCGGGUGAUAAGGAGAUGUAAUUCUAUGAUUGACAUCAUACUUAGGAAGCAUCUUACGGAUAGCACCAUGAAUAAAGUGUGAACCACCAUCCGUCAUAAGAUAUCUAGGGACUCCAAACCUCGGAAAAAUAACUUCUUUAAGCAUUUUAAUAGAAGUGUUAUGAUCAGCACUACUAGUUGGAAUAGCUUCUACCCACUUAGUAACGUAAUCAACAGCAACUAAAAUAUGUGUAUAACCAUUGGAGGCAGGAAAAGGUCCCAUAUAAUCAAAACCCCAAACAUCAAACGUUUCAAUAACAAGAGAAUAAUUCAUAGGCAUUUCUUGACGUCUACUGAUGUUACCUAUUCUUUGACAUUCAUCACAAGAUACGACAAACUUACGAGCAUCUUUGAAAAGAGUAGGACAAUAAAAACCAGAUUGUAGUACCUUGUGUGCAGUUCUAUCUCCAGCGUGGUGUCCUCCAUAGGAUUCAGAGUGACACUUGCGUAGGAUUUAUUCUUGUUCAUGCUCAGGCACACAACGUCUAAUAAUACCAUCUACUCCUUUAUAAAGGUGUGGAUCAUCCCAGAAGUAAUGUCUUAAAUCAUAAAAGAACUUUUUCUUUUGCUGGUAUGUGAAACUAGGCGGUAUGUAUUUAGCAACAAUGUAAUUAGCAUAGUCAGCAUAACAAGGAGUAGUACGAGAAGCAUUGACAACCGUUAAUUGUUCAUCAGGAAAACUAUCAUUAAUAGGCAGUGGGUCAUCAAGAACAUUCUCUAGCCUAGACAAGUUGUCUGCAACGGGGUUCUCAUCUCCCUUUCUAUCAAUAAUAUGCAAGUCAAAUUCUUGGAGCAAGAGAACACAUCUAAUGAGUCUAGGCUUAGCAUCUUUCUUUUCCAUAAGAUAUUUAAUAGCAGCAUGAUCAGUGUGAAUAGUAACUUUAGAAUCAACAAUAUAAGGUCUAAACUUAUCACAUGCAUACACAACUGCUAAGAAUUCUUUUUCAGUGGUAGCAUAAUUUCUCUGGGCAGUAUCAAGAGUCUUACUAGCAUAAUGGAUAAUAUUCAAUUUCUUGUCGACUCUUUGCCCUAAAACAGCACCUACAGCACAAUCACUAGCAUCACACAUAAUUUCAAAAGGUAAAUUCCAAUCAGGUGGCUGAACUAUAUGUGCUGUGAUCAAAGCUUUCUUAAGUGUUUCAAAUGCUUCUACACAAUCAUCAUCAAAGACAAAAGGAAUAUAUUUUUGCAAUAAAUUAGUUAGAGGCCUAGAGAUUUUAGAAAAGUCCUUAAUAAACCUCCUAUAAAAACCGACAUGACCAAGGAAACUUCUUAUACCUUUUAUGUCCUUGGGACAUGGCAUCUUUUCAAUAGCAUCAACUUUGGCUUUAUCAACUUCAAUACCCCUCUCGGAGAUCUUGUGCCCCAAGACAAUGCCUUCAUUAACCAUAAAGUGACACUUUUCCCAAUUCAGGACGGGACUAGUGUCUUCGCAUCUCUGCAAAACUCGAUCAAGGUUGCUCAAACAAUCAUCAAAAGAGGAUCCAUAGACGGAGAAGUCAUCCAUGAAUACCUCACAAAUCUUUUCACAAAAAUCAGAAAAUAUAGCCAUCAUGCAUCUUUGAAAGGUAGCAGGUGCAUUACAUAAACCAAAAGGCAUACGUCUAUAAGCAAAAGUACCAAAAGGCAAGUAAAAGUAGUUUUAGAUUGAUGCCCCGCUGAUACAGGUAUCUGAGAGAAGCCAGAAUAACCAUCUAGAAAGCAAAAAUGUGUGUGUUUGGAUAACCUUUCUAGCAUUUUAUCAAUAAAAGGUAAAGGGUAAUGAUCUUUCUUAGUAGCUUUAUUUAACUUGCGGAAAUCAAUUACCAUCCUAUAGCCUGUAAUAAUUCUUUGUGGGAUCAAUUCAUCUUUAUCAUUAGGGACAACGGUAAUACCUCCCUUUUUAGGGACACAAUGGACAGGGCUUACCCAUUCACUAUCAGCAACGGGAUAAAUAAUACCUGCCUCAAGGAGUUUUAGUAUCUCCUUUCUCACCACUUCCUUCAUUUUGGGAUUUAAUCGUCUUUGAGGAUCUCUAACAGGUUUGGCAUCUUUCUCCACUGAAAUUUUGUGUUGACAUAAUGUGGGACUAAUGCCCUUGAGAUCAUCCAGGGUAUAUCCAAUAGCAGCUCGGUGCUUCUUCAGAGUUUUCAAUAAUCUUUCUUCUUCUUUCUUUUAAAGGUUAGCACUAAUAAUAACAAGAUAUAUUUCUUUUUCAUCAAGAUAAGCAUACUUAAGAUUAUCAGAUAAUGGUUUGAGUUCAAACACGGGAUCACCCUUGGGUGGAGGGGGAUCCCCAAGAAUUUCAACGGGAAGAUUAUGUUUUAGCAUAGGUUCUUGUUUAAGGAACACUUCAUCUAUUUCUUCCCUUUCCUUCAUAAACAUAUCGUUUUCAUGGUCUAGCAAAUAUUGUUCUAACGGAUCAGUUGGAGGAACAACAAUGGAAGCAAGACCAAUAAUCUCAUCCUUACUAGAUGGUUCCUUUUCACGAUGUUGUCUACUAAACUUAGCGAAAUUAAACUCAUGAGACAUACCAUCUAAGCCAACAGUAACAAUAUUCUUUUCACAAUCAAUUUUAGCACUAGCAGUGUUCAAGAAGGGUCUACCAAAAAUAAUGGGACAAAAAUCAUCUUGUGGGGAACCGAGAACAAGAAAAUCAGAAGGGUAUUUAAUCUUCCCACACAAGACUUCAACAUCUCUAACAAUCCCAAUAGGUUUAAUGGUGUCCCUAUUAGCAAGCUUAAUAGUAACAUCAAUAUCUUCUAAUUCAACUGGUGCAAUAUCGUGCAUAAUUUCUUUAUAAAGAUCAUAAGGUAUCGCAUUAGCACUAGCAGCCAUAUCACAUAAGCCAUGAUAACAAUGAUCUCCAAUUUUAACAGAAAUAACAGGCGUGCCUACAACAGGUCUACGUGUCUUAGUAUCGGGUCUAGCAAUAUUAGCAGUUUCACCCAAGAAAGAGAUAACAUACCCAUCUAAGUCCUCAUCCAAGAGAUCUUUAAUCAUAGCAAUACCAGGUUCAACAUUAAUUUGC
rnacentral:lncRNA from 1 species